GAUAGUUGCAUUCAAAAGGAAUAAUUUACUGUGACUUAAAGCUAUCAAAUAUCCUGUUGGAUGAAAAUGGAAUCACAAAGUUGUGUGAUUUUGAAUUAGCAAGAAAAUUGAGUGAUAUAUAAAAGACACCUUCCUCCCAGUCAGACAUGUAAUACCUAGCAGAAAAUUAUAUAAAGGUUCAGAUGCAAUUCCUUCAGUUUCAUUUGAUGCACCUCAACUGUCUGAUUUUGUCAAAAUAUCAAAAGAG